UAAAAGUAUAAAACUGUAAACUUAUCUGUAAUUAACAGAACUCCAAAUUAUAGAAGCAAAAAUGAACAGAACUGAAGGAAAAAAUAGUUCUAAAAUAACAGAUCCCAAUAAAGCCCCUCUCCUUAACUAAAAAGAGUGGAAGUCACUUUUCCUUUAAUUUCCUUAAUAUUUUUAAAAUAUACAAUUAUACAUUAUUUCAAAAAAAUAUAGAGAUUAAGUAGAAAUAUUUUCUCAAGUGACCCAGAAAUUUUUAAAAUUUGGGGUCAUAAAGAACUUACCUAAAAGUGAUUCUUACAAAUGAGAUAUUCACCCAACUUUUUAAAGAGACGACUCAAAAACUAAUACUAAAUCAUGUAUUCCAAUAUCAUGCCAUAGUCAGUUAAAAGAGAGAAAUCAAAAGUAGAAAGAUACCCAUAAAAGCGAGAAAAGGAAAUGUAAAGUGAGUAUACUAGAUUCUAUUUUUAUCCAGCUAUUAACCAGAAAGGAUGCUCAAGGGACCAUUACCUUAACCUUUUAAUUGGUCAUUUAAAAUGCUAACUGAUUAAACCUUUGCUCCUACUUCAACAAGUUUCUAUACUCCUCUCAAACCGUAUAAAUAGGAACUUGUGUCCCAAAUUGCAGUGUUUUUUUAAUCAGAGUUGUCCCUCGGGAAAGGACUUACAAAACCACUGUCAUCUAAAGUGACAAUUUUUAAUCCCUAAAGUAAAUCCAAGCAACAGGACUUUUUCAAUCCUGCAAGUAGUGGAUCUUUGUUUCAGAAUACAAGAAGAGGAAAACAGAAAGGUAACUGAGAACUAGUAAUAUCUUGCUACUGAGACAAAUGAAAAUACCUGACGUUAAGUUUCAAAAUACAUCUAAUUCUUCACACUUGCUUAAACGUAAACUGGACCUUCUGAAGUUUAUUAAAGAUGUUAGAAAAAUAUUACUUUAUAAUAUCACACAGAAGUUUCAAUAUGUUCAAAGAAAAGCCUUUCCCUGCAAUUCUCCACUCCAGGGAUUUGAAAACCGUACACUGAUGGGUGAUCGCGCGCCCUUUUUCGAAUUCCAAGUAGCGGCUGCACAACAAGUGGGAUUGUCCCAUUCUGAAGGGCUCGAUUUUCCUGUAGAGACAAUACAAACUCCUUGACGUAGGUAAAAAUGAGAAAGUACCAGCCUGCUUCUCAGAUUGAGAAACCAAAGACCGGGCAGAGGAAGGGCUUCAAACAUACACCAAAGGGAAAGAAGGGAGAUAAGAAAAACGAAAAAAAAUAUGAAUUAGAAAGACGAAUUAUUAUGCGAUGAUGGUCCCACAUUCUGUUGGGACCGAGGUCCUUCAAAAUCAUCUACGCGUACUUGAGCCCGUGUAGAAAUGACGACAAGAGCCUCCGUCCUGGGAACCAAACUACCCUGUCAGCACCUCCCACUAGCCAGCGUGGAAGCGGAAAGCAAAGGAAAACGAGGAAAAGUGGGAGCAGCAUAACCCCGGACCCCGCGCCAUUAUCAACGCCGCCUCUUUCCCGCGAUGCCUCAUUUACCUGCGUCGCCAAGACAUGACGGAAGCAGUGAGAUGCACAGUGCGACCCAGCAGCAAACGAGAUCGUCGUGCUCUUGGUUUCCGAACACCAGCCACCAAUGACCGUAUGCGAGCCUCUCUCACGUGACAGGCGAAGAUUGGCCCCCAGGAACCUUCACUGUCGUUUACCAGUCUAGAAGUAUUGUGGAAAUUCACCACAAUCGUUCACUUUGGCCGACCAAUAUGGACUUCAAGCUCAGUGCUCCGCAAUUUCUUGACGUUUAGAGCUUGUUAAAUGCAUCUCGUUUUUUUCAUUACUUAGUUUUGUAACAGACUUGGUUUGCACUCGAUUUUUUUUGUUAUUGAUGUGAAGUGUUGUUUAAAGAUUCCUGAAGGAUAUUUUCUAUUUUAAUUUAAUGGACUUGAACACCAAAAAUAUCAUCCCUUGACCCCCGCUUUUGUUGUUAUAAUUCUCUCCAUAAAACGCGCCGUUUUAAAGUGUGUAGUUCAGAAAUUCUUACUGUGUAUUAAGGUUGUGAAACCAUCAUUACUACAAAUAAUUCCAGAAUAUUUUCAUCAUCCUCAAAAAAAAAAAAAUACUAUUUAAAAUUACUGCAGAC